UACGUAGGGUGCAAGCGUUGUCCGGAAUUAUUGGGCGUAAAGAGCUCGUAGGCGGCUUGUUACGUCGACUGUGAAAACCCGCGGCUCAACUGCGGGCCUGCAGUCGAUACGGGCAGGCUAGAGUUCGGUAGGGGAGACUGGAAUUCCUGGUGUAGCGGUGAAAUGCGCAGAUAUCAGGAGGAACACCGGUGGCGAAGGCGGGUCUCUGGGCCGAUACUGACGCUGAGGAGCGAAAGCGUGGGGAGCGAACAGG
rnacentral:rRNA from 1 species